GACGAACGCUGGCGGCGCGCUUAACACAUGCAAGUCGAACGGAAAGGCCUGCUUUCCCUUGUGGAUUGCGGGUACUCGAGUGGCGAACGGGUGAGUAACACGUGAGUGAUCUGCCCCCAACUUGGGUAUAAGCCUGGGAAACUGGGUCUAAUUCCCGAUAGGACUGCAGGGUGGUGCCUGUGGUGGAAAACGAUUUUCUAGUGGUUGGGGAUGAGCUCGCGGCCUAUCAGCUUGUUGGUGGGGUAAUGGCCUACCAAGGCGGCGACGGGUAGCCGGCCUGAGAGGGUGGACGGCAACAUUGGGACUGAGAUACGGCCCAGACUCCGACGGGAGGCAGCAGUGGGGAAUAUUGCACAAUGGGCGGAAGCCUGAUGCAGCGACGCCGCGUGGGGGAUGACGGCCUUCGGGUUGUAAACUCCUUUCGACCGCGAGGAAGCCACCUGGUUGGAAGGGUGGUGACGGUAGUGGUAGAAGAAGCACCGGCUAACUACGUG
rnacentral:rRNA from 1 species